GAUGAAGAACGUAGCGAAAUGCGAUAAGUAAUGUGAAUUGCAGAAUUCAGUGAAUCAUCGAAUCUUUGAACGCACAUUGCGCCCCUUGGUAUUCCGAGGGGCAUGCCUGUUCGAGCGUCAUUAUAACCCUCAAGCUCAGCUUGGUGUUGGGGUCUGCUGCAGUGGCAGCCCUUAAAAUCAGUGGCGGCGCCAUCUGGCUCUAAGCGUAGUAAUUCUUCUCGCUAUGGAGUCCUGGUGGAUGCUUGCCAUCAACCCCCAAUUUUUCUAUGGUUGACCUCGGAUCAGGUAGGGAUACCCGCUGAACUUAAGCAUAUCAAUAAGCGGAGGA
rnacentral:misc_RNA from 1 species